rnacentral:rRNA from 1 species
GACGAACGCUGGCGGCGUGCUUAACACAUGCAAGUCGAACGGAAAGGCCCUGCUUUUGUGGGGUGCUCGAGUGGCGAACGGGUGAGUAACACGUGAGUAACCUGCCCUUGACUUUGGGAUAACUUCAGGAAACUGGGGCUAAUACCGGAUAGGAGCUCCUGCUGCAUGGUGGGGGUUGGAAAGUUUCGGCGGUUGGGGAUGGACUCGCGGCUUAUCAGCUUGUUGGUGGGGUAGUGGCUUACCAAGGCUUUGACGGGUAGCCGGCCUGAGAGGGUGACCGGCCAAAUUGGGACUGGGAUACGGCCCAGACUCCUACGGGAGGCAGCAGUGGAGAAUAUUGCACAAUGGGCGGAAGCCUGAUGCAGCAACGCCGCGUGCGGGAUGACGGCCUUCGGGUUGUAAACCGCUUUCGCCUGUGACGAAGCGUGAGUGACGGUAAUGGGUAAAGAAGCACCGGCUAACUACGUG